UUAACAAUACUUUCAAUGUAAGAAGAACUGAACGAACAAAUGAAGUGCCGCCGAAUUUCGACGAGCAACAACCAAUAGAAUACAACAUUUACAAAAAGAAGCCCACACGAAAAAGUGGUUUAUAGUUAAAGUGAACAUUAAAAAAAAGUGAAGUGAAGAUAUUAAAAAAAUAUUAGUGCAUCAGCUAACAAUUAGAUUAGUUAAUCAGAUUGUAUUUAUUAGAAACUGGCGACUGUUGAUGGUUUAUACAUCCAUACAAACAUUACUGGGAAAACAUUGAAGAAGAAAAUUAACUUAAAAUAUUGUCAAGAUGCAGCUUUACUCUGGGCCCUACAUGGGUAUUUUGUGCCUUUCCAAAAAGUUGUGAGGAAAGACAACGAGGGAAAAAAAACGUUCACGAGAUUUACCAUCAAGGACUCCCAGAAUUCGUUUGUUUGGAAUUUUUAUAAUUUUCAGCAUAGAUUUCGAUAGUGAGGUCCAGGAUGAAGGGACUCAUUGGCGCUGUAAACAG